CAGUCGCCGCGGUAAUACGAAGGGGGCUAGCGUUGUUCGGAUUUACUGGGCGUAAAGCGCACGUAGGCGGAUCCUUAAGUCAGAGGUGAAAUCCCAAGGCUCAACCUUGGAACUGCCUUUGAUACUGGGGAUCUCGAGUCCGGGAGAGGUGAGUGGAACUGCGAGUGUAGAGAUGAAAUUCGUAGAUAUUCGCAAGAACACCAGUGGCGAAGGCGGCUCACUGGCCCGGUACUGACGCUGAGGUGCGAAAGCGUGGGGAGCAAACAGGAUUAGAUACCCCCGUAGUCCCUGUCUCUUAUAC
rnacentral:rRNA from 1 species